rnacentral:rRNA from 1 species
GCCCCCGGAGGCCUUCAAACACUGCAUCUUUGCGUCGGAGUAAAAGUUAAUUAAACAAAACUUUCAACAACGGAUCUCUUGGUUCUGGCAUCGAUGAAGAACGCAGCGAAAUGCGAUAAGUAAUGUGAAUUGCAGAAUUCAGUGAAUCAUCGAAUCUUUGAACGCACAUUGCGCCCUUUGGUAUUCCGAAGGGCAUGCCUGUUCGAGCGUCAUUUCACCACUCAAGCCUAGCUUGGUAUUGGGCGCCGCGGUUUUCCGCGCGCCUCAAAGUUUCCGGCCGAGCUGUCCGUCUCUAAGCGUUGUGAUACAUAUUCGCUUCGGAGUGCGGGCGGCCGCGGCCGUCAAAUCUUUCACAAGGUUGACCUCGGAUCAGGUAGGGAUACCCGCUGAACUUAAGCAUAUCAAUAAGCGGAGGA